UACGUAGGUGGCAAGCGUUGGUCCGGAUUUACUGGGCGUAAAGAGCGCGCAGGCGGUCGUUCAAGUCGCGUGUGAAAGCCCCCGGCUCAACAUGGGGAGGGUCACGGCGAUACUGAUCGACUCGAAGGCAGGAGAGGGUAGUGGAAUUCCCGGUGUAGUGGUGAAAUGACGUAGAUAUCGGGAGGAACACCAGUGGCGAAGGCGGCUCACUGGCCCGUACUGACGCUGAGGCGCGAAAGCGUGGGGAGCAACAGGG
rnacentral:rRNA from 1 species